GGACAACCUACCCUAUGGAGGGGGAUAACCCCGGGAAACUGGGGAUAAUACCCCAUAGACUAUGGAUGCUGGAAUGCUUUGUAGUUGAAAGGUCCGCCGCCAUAGGAUGGGUCUGCGGCCGAUUAGGUUGUUGUUGGGGUAACGGCCCAACAAGCCUGUAAUCGGUACGGGUUGUGGGAGCAAGAGCCCGGAGAUGGAUUCUGAGACACGAAUCCAGGCCCUACGGGGCGCAGCAGGCGCGAAAACUUUACAAUGCGGGAAACCGUGAUAAGGGAACUCCGAGUGCCCGUAAAAUCGGGCUGUCCGUCUGUUUAAAUAACAGGUGAAGAAAGGGCCGGGCAAGACCGGUGCCAGCCGCCGCGGUAAUACCGGCGGCUCGAGUGGUGGCCACUAUUACUGGGCUUAAAGCGUUCGUAGCUGGUCUGUUAAGUCUCUGGGGAAAUCUACUGGCUUAACCAAUAGGCGUUUCAGGGAUACUGGCAGACUAUGGACCGGGAGAGGUGAGAGGUACUCCAGGGGUAGGAGUGAAAUCCUGUAAUCCUUGGGGGACCACCUGUGGCGAAGGCGUCUCACCAGAACGGCUUCCACAGUGAGGGACGAAAGCUGGGGGAGCAAACCGGAUUAGAUACCCGGGUAGUCC
rnacentral:rRNA from 1 species